rnacentral:rRNA from 1 species
UACGGGGGGAGCAAACGUUGUUCGGAAUCACUGGGCGUAAAGCGUGCGCAGGCGGUUUUGUAAGCCAGAUGUGAAAGCCCCGGGCUCAACCUGGGAAUGGCAUUUGGGACUGCAAGGCUUGAGUGCGGCAGAGGAGACUGGAAUUCCUGGUGUAGCAGUGAAAUGCGUAGAUAUCAGGAGGAAUACCGAUGGCGAAGGCAGGUCUCUGGGCUGACACUGACGCUCAUGCACGAAAGCGUGGGGAGCAAACAGG